GCUUACUUGGUGAAAUCGGUAGACACGAAAGCUUUAAAAGCUUUUUGUUUUUAUAAACAAUGCAGGUUCAAGUCCCGCAGUAAGCA
rnacentral:tRNA from 3 species